rnacentral:rRNA from 1 species
UACGAAGGGGGCUAGCGUUGCUCGGAAUCACUGGGCGUAAAGCGCACGUAGGCGGCUUUUUAAGUCAGGGGUGAAAUCCUGGAGCUCAACUCCAGAACUGCCUUUGAUACUGGGAGCUUGAGUCCGGGAGAGGUGAGUGGAACUCCGAGUGUAGAGGUGAAAUUCGUAGAUAUUCGGAAGAACACCAGUGGCGAAGGCGGCUACA